GAUAAGGUGGCUGAUUUAAGGCAAGGAACUGUAAAUUCUUUUAUAAAUAAAAUAUUUUCUUAUU
rnacentral:tRNA from 1 species